ACCUUCCUGCCGCACUGCGGGAUGAAUGGUAAUUGGAAAUCUGAGCUCACAGUGACGUGGCCCUCAGGAGACCCAGAGCCAAUGAGUGGAUUAGUCUCUCCUUCUAGUUGCGGUCUGGUAGUCGUCGGUGGCAGUGGGACAGCUCGCUGUUGCUCUGAAGGCAGGCGAACAAGCUGCCCGGGAAAGGAGGAAAGUGGUAGAAGCCGACUCCAGAGGAGCCCUAGCAGGUCUUUAGUACGUUUGUGCAGCAGAUUUCAAGACUAAGAGAGAAAGACUGCCUCAUCCCUGCAGGAAGAAAAAAAACAGGAAGAAAAAAAAAAACUCAACAUGGAAAAUGUCCCCAAGGAAAACAAAGUUGUGGAGAAGGCCCCAGUGCAGAAUGAAGCUCCCACUUUAGGAGGUGGUGAAGACCAGGAGCCUGAAGGAAAUAUUAGAGGGGUUCAGGCUCCACGUGCCCAGGAUUUUGGAGGGGAUGCGCCCAAUAGGCUUGUUGAUAACAUUGAUAUGAUAGAUGGAGAUGCAGAUGAUAUGGAACGGUUCAUGGAGGAGAUGAGAGAGCUAAGGAGGAAAAUUAGGGAACUUCAGUUGAGGUACAGUCUGCGCAUUCUUAUAGGGGACCCCCCUCAGCAUGAUCAUCAUGAUGAGUUUUGCCUUAUGCCUUGAAUCUUGAGAUUAAUAAUCAUAAAAUCCCUGCUUUCCAAAUUCGCAUUUUUCCUGGUGUACCUUUAAUGUGAACCUUUUGGCAUUCUUCUGCCAUUUUCUGAUUAGAGAUUGCUUUUAGACCUAGUCUGUAAGUUUUUCUGUCAGAAGAGGAUUUUCAUCAACUUUCAUGGAAAGAUGUUUAUUGCACACUGUAAAGUUAAUAAAGCAAUUUAAAAGUAGUCUAUAGAUAUGUGAUUUCAUUUAAAAGCAUAUGUAUGCACACUAUAUAUAAAAUACAUAAUUUAUGUGAAAUAUUAUACAUAUGAAAACCAGAAUGUGCUUUUUCUAUGUCGUAUAGUUACUGGUACUUUUAAAUUUCUUAAUUUUUUUUUAUUGGUUAACGUUUUUUUUUCUCACUUUUUCAAAAUGAAUACAUAUGUUUUGUACGUAUCAGGAAAAAAAAAAAAAGAAGCAACAAACUUGCCAAUCAGCUUAUACAGGGAAUGGGGACAAUUAAUAAACACUUGAAACACGAUUUAAAGGCAUAUAAAUCUCAUAUUACCUGUGGAUCUCUCAUUUAGAAACACAUAUCUGAUAAUUACAGAUACAUUGCAUUAUAAAUGUCUUAGAGAGCUGCUGUGGGAAUCAAAUGAGGUAAUGACUGAGCCCUGUGUCUUGCUCUAUUUAUACAUGCAAGGCUCCAGCCCUCCAGGUGCCCUUCAUUUUUAGGGAAGAUUCCAAAGAGUGUACCAAUCAGGAGUCCAACUGAUUUAUAGAAGAUGAGACAUGAAGAGCGAAGGCAGCCAUCAGCAAGCCAAAAAGAAAUCCCUCAGGAGAAACCAAGCCUGCUGAUACCAUGAUCUUGAACUUCCAGCCUCCAGAACUGUGAAAAAUAAAUUUCUACUAUUUAAA